rnacentral:rRNA from 1 species
CCUACGUGAGGCUGCAGUGAGGAAUAUUGGUCAAUGGGCGGGAGCCUGAACCAGCCAAGUCGCGUGAGGGAAGAAGGUACUGAGUAUUGUAAACCUCUUUUGCCAGGGGACAAAGGCGGCCACGGGUGGCCGUAAGAGGGUACCUGGAGAAAAAGCAUCGGCUAACUCCGUGCCAGCAGCCGCGGUAAUACGGAGGAUGCGAGCGUUAUCCGGAUUUAUUGGGGUUAAAGGGUGCGUAGGCGGGCAUUUAAGCCGGCGGUCAAAUGUCGGGGCUCAACCCCGGCCUGCCGUCGGAACUGGGUGCCUUGAGUGGGCGAGAAGUAUGCGGAAUGCGUGGUGUAGCGGUGAAAUGCAUAGAUAUCACGCAGAACCCCGAUUGCGAAGGCAGCAUACCGGCGCCCUACUGACGCUGAGACACGAAAGUGCGGGUAUCGAACAGGAUUAGAUACCCUAGUAGUC